GACGAACGCUGGCGGCGUGCCUAAUACAUGCAAGUCGAGCGAAUGAAGUUCCUUCGGGAAUGGAUUUAGCGGCGGACGGGUGAGUAACACGUGGGCAACCUGCCUCAUAGAGGGGAAUAGCCUCCCGAAAGGGAGAUUAAUACCGCAUAAGAUUGUAGUACCGCAUGAUACAGCAAUUAAAGGAGUAAUCCGCUAUGAGAUGGGCCCGCGGCGCAUUAGCUAGUUGGUGAGGUAACGGCUCACCAAGGCGACGAUGCGUAGCCGACCUGAGAGGGUGAUCGGCCACAUUGGGACUGAGACACGGCCCAGACUCCUACGGGAGGCAGCAGUGGGGAAUAUUGCACAAUGGGGGAAACCCUGAUGCAGCAACGCCGCGUGAGUGAUGACGGCCUUCGGGUUGUAAAGCUCUGUCUUCAGGGAAGAUAAUGACAGUACCCUUGGAGGAAGCCCCGGCUAAAUACGUGCCAGCCGCCGCCGUAACAC
rnacentral:rRNA from 1 species